GGAAGGUAUAGCUCAGUGGUAGAACAUCUGCUUUGCACGCAGAAGGUCUCAGGUUCAAUCCCCCCACAUCUCCA